UACGUAGGGUGCAGGCGUUAAUCGGAAUUACUGGGCGUAAAGCGUGCGCAGGCGGUUCGUUGUGUCCGUCGUGAAAGCCCGGGCUUAACCUGGGAACUGCGAUGGAAACUAGCGAGCUGGAGUGUGGCAGAGGGGGGUGGAAUUCCGCGUGUAGCAGUGAAAUGCGUAGAGAUGCGGAGGAACACCGAUGGCGAAGGCAGCCCCCUGGGCUAACACUGACGCUCAGGCACGAAAGCGUGGGGAGCAAACAGG
rnacentral:rRNA from 1 species